ACGACCUAACGGGGCGCCUCGCUCCUGAUGAAAUGAUCAAUUUACAGAAAGGCCCCCAAGGUCGCCGCCCAAGCCCAACAGUAGCCCAGAAGAAUGCGAAUUCGAAGAAGGCUACACGGUGUCGUUGGGUGCGAGCGAGACUCUUAGGAGGGCUUCCCUGCAAGUUUCCAGACCGGCAAAGCCCUAGAACCUCCACCUCGUCGUCGGCGGCGGCUACCAUGUCGACCCCCUCCGGGAACGGCGGCAGCGCCUCCGCGUACUUCGACGUCUACGGCCAUGGCGCCAAGCCUGAUGUUGUUUUUAAGGAGGCUGCUUUAAACUCUACGUUAAAUCUGCAGGAUGUUCAGGGUCUGGUCACUUGGGUUAUUGGUGACGGCAUGCUUCCUUCUUGGGUGUUUGUUAAGAACAAGCCUCUUAUACCGAAAGUCAUCCUGCUAUAUGUUCCUGGCCUUGAUGCAGCUUUAUAUAUGUCACAGACGCGACUUCUUUCUUCUCUGAAAGAAUUAUGUGGCAAUCCAAAACCUGUUCUAGCUUCAAGCUGCAUACCUGAUGAGAGGCAUACCAUUGAUGCACUCCUAACCUGCAGAGUAAAGAGAAAACGUGAUGUAAAAACAUCAACUCAGCCGUCUAAACUGGAUGGAGAAGGAAAAUUAUCAAGUCUGGAUGAUCUUGGGGACAUACCAUUUCCUGUUACAUAUUACACACUUUCGGAGAAAGACUUAGAAGACAAUGGCUACUCUUUAAAUUUGUCAGAUUUUGUCCCUACUGUUUCAGCUCCUUCAGGUUCUUCUCCACAUAAAAUUCUUGCACUUGAUUGUGAAAUGUGCGUGACUGGAGCUGGAUUUGAACUUACAAGAGUGACAUUAGUCGAUAUUAAAGGAACGGUGGUGCUAGAUAGACUAGUAAAGCCUGCCAAUCCAAUCAUCGAUUACAAUACAAGGUUCAGUGGAAUCACCGCUGAGAUGUUGGCUGACGUGUCCACAACCCUGCAGGAGAUUCAGGAAGAAUUUGUUGGACUUGUCUAUAAAGAAACCAUUCUCGUUGGGCAUUCUUUGGAAAAUGACCUUACAGCAUUACGGAUAUCCCAUCGUUUAAUCAUAGAUACAGCUGUUUUGUACAGGUAUAAUCGAGGUGCUCGCUGUAAGAUUGCUUUGCGUGUCUUGACAAAAAAAUUUCUUGGCCGAGAGAUCCAAAACACUGGAUCUGGGCAUGAUAGUGUGGAAGAUGCAAGGGCUGCUCUAGAACUUGCUAUAUUGAAAAUAAAAAAUGGUCCUGAUUUUGGCUCCCAACCAUCAUUGUCAAGGCGGAAGUUGACGUCUAUACUGCAUGAGAGUGGGAAAAAAUGCUCUCUUAUUGAUGACGUGUCUGUUCUCGAGCGAUAUUCAGAUACUUCUUGCAAUUCAAUUGCUGUUUUUUCGGAUGAUGAUGCACUCUCCAGAUCAAUGAAGGAGGUGAAGAAUGACAAAGUCAGCUUCAUUUGGACUCAAUUCUCAGGAUUGAUCUCCUACUUCGGCAGAAGAGCUCAAGAUCCGGAAAAGUUGAAAUCAUGUGUCGCAGAGGCUAUUGCAUUAAAAACAUGCGAUGGAAAAACUGCUUCGAAAAAAGCAAAACGUCAAAUUUGUCCUGAAUUAAAGGAAGUUUUGUGUCAAUUGGAUAAAAAGAUAAGGGAAUUAUAUGUUGCCCUACCUGAUAAUGCUAUGCUUAUUAUAUGCACUGGCCAUGGUGAUACACCUCUAGUACAAAGACUGCGUAAAAUGCUUCACCAUGAAGAAAACACAAUAGAAACCCGAGAAAGUAUUGUUCAAGCUUUGGGAGAUUUACAAGCCCAAGCAGAAGUUGCUUUGUGCUUCUGCUGUGUCAAACAUUAAUUGCAUCUUUAAAUUGCUGUCCUCAUGUACAUGACUUUUAUGGAUUGAAGAAGGGUGUCAUGCAUGCAAGCUGACCUGCUGACGUGGGAACUUCUCUAUCAUAGAUUAGUAGAUUCAAUUUUGAAACUUCCUGCUGCCCUUCUUGUCAGAGGAAUGUAGCAAACUGGGCUGUAACAAUCUGAUUGAUGUGAUAUCAAUCAAGUUCUGCUUCCAGAGGAAUGAUCGUUCUGCUAUAAUAUAUUUGUAUGACCCCACAAAACUAAGGCGUUAUUGUCAUUUUCAUGUUGCUACCAUAAAUGUUAAAAAUGUAAAUGUAUCAGGCUCCUCUUCUAACUAGAGGGGAGUAGUAUAUUUGUGUUGUAAGUUAGUUUGGGCACGCAAAACUUGUGACAUUAUUUACAAAUUGUGCAACUUCAUGCGAGUUUGCUGGACGAACAUAAUUUUAUUCAAGCUGCUAGGUCAA